GAUGAACGCUGGCGGCGUGCCUAAUACAUGCAAGUCGAGCGAAUGGAUUAAGAGCUUGCUCUUAUGAAGUUAGCGGCGGACGGGUGAGUAACACGUGGGUAACCUGCCCAUAAGACUGGGAUAACUCCGGGAAACCGGGGCUAAUACCGGAUAACAUUUUGAACCGCAUGGUUCGAAAUUGAAAGGCGGCUUCGGCUGUCACUUAUGGAUGGACCCGCGUCGCAUUAGCUAGUUGGUGAGGUAACGGCUCACCAAGGCAACGAUGCGUAGCCGACCUGGGAGGGUGACCGGCCCCACUGGGACUGAGACACGGCCCAGACUCCUACGGGAGGCAGCAGUAGGGAAUCUUCCGCAAUGGACGAAAGUCUGACGUAGCAACGCCGCGUGAGUGAUGAAGGCUUUCGGGUCGUAAAACUCUGUUGUUAGGGAAGAACAAGUGCUAGUUGAAUAAGCUGGCACCUUGACGGUACCUAACCAGAAAGCCACGGCUAACUACGUGCCAGCCGCCGCUGUAA
rnacentral:rRNA from 1 species